rnacentral:tRNA from 1 species
ACCGGGUAGCUCAAAUGGUAGAGUAGCCGACUUGUAUUCGGGAGAUUCUGGGUUUGAAUCCCAGUCCGAGCA